UGGCUCAGGAUGAACGCUGGCGGCGUGCUUAACACAUGCAAGUCGAACGAUGAUCCCAGCUUGCUGGGGGAUUAGUGGCGAACGGUGAGUAACACGUGAGUAACCUGCCCUUGACUCUGGGAUAAGCCUGGGAAACUGGGUCUAAUACCGGAUACGACCAUUCCACGCAUGUGGUGGUGGUGGAAAGCUUUUGUGGUUUUGGAUGGACUCGCGGCCUAUCAGCUUGUUGGUGGGGUAAUGGCCUACCAAGGCGACGACGGGUAGCCGGCCUGAGAGGGUGACCGGCCACACUGGGACUGAGACACGGCCCAGACUCCUACGGGAGGCAGCAGUGGGGAAUAUUGCACAAUGGGCGCAAGCCUGAUGCAGCGACGCCGCGUGAGGGAUGACGGCCUUCGGGUUGUAAACCUCUUUCAGUAGGGAAGAAGCGAAAGUGACGGUACCUGCAGAAGAAGCGCC
rnacentral:rRNA from 1 species